GCAUUACAUGGAUGCCUCGACUCUGUACUCCGAAGAAGGACGUGGCCAGCUGCGAUAAGCCUCGGUAAGCCGCUAGGCAGGCGCUAUAGCCGGGGAUUUCCGAAUGAGGAAACUCCAUCUCCGUUAUGGGAGAUGACCCUGAACCGUAAGGUACAGGGAGGUUACUCUGACAACUGAAACAUCUCAGUAGCAGAGGAAAAGAAAUCAAUAGAGAUUCCCAAAGUAGUGGCGAGCGAAAUGGGAACAGGCCAAACCCCACUGUUUUAUUGGUGGGGGGUUGUAGGGCCCCAAUAUCCGAUUGUUUCUGCAUAGACGAACGACCCUGGAACGGGCGGCCAAAGUGGGUGAGAGCCCCGUAGCCGAAAUGUAGAAACACGGUAGGGUGUCCCUGAGUAGGGUCGGACACGUGAAAUCCGGCCUGAAUCUGGGUGGACCACUACCCAAGCCUAAACAGGUACAGAGAUCUAUAGUGAAUAGUACCGCGAGGGAACGGUGAAAAGUACCCCGGAAGGGGGAUGAAAUAGACCCUGAAAUGUAUUGCGUUCAAGGAGUGGGAGCCCUGCACUUGUUGCGGGGUGACCGCGUGCCUUUUGCAUAAUGAGCCAACGAGUUAGUUGUCAGUGGCUGGUUAAGGCAGAGUUAGCCGGAGCCAGAGCGAAAGCGAGUCUUAAAUAAGGCGUACAUAGUCGCUGGCACUAGACCCGAAACCGGGUGAGCUACCCAUGGGCAGGGUGAAGGGCGUCGGAAGACGUCUGGAGGCCCGAACCAUUAAGUGUCACAAGACUUAGGGAUGACCUGUGGGUAGGGGUGAAAAGCCUAUCGAACCCGGAGAUAGCUG
rnacentral:rRNA from 1 species